rnacentral:lncRNA from 1 species
AAGGUUUCCUGGAUUACAUAGGGACAGACAACCAAGGCUGGAAAGACAGAAUUCUUCCCAAAGCCAAGAAAUCUCAUCUGGAAGUGGGUGAUGUGGGGCUCAAACACUCAAAAGCACUGGUACUAACCUUAAAAGGAAAAGACUGGGCUCUACCAAAACCAUCAGGAGAAAAGACGAGCCCCAAGCUGGGCUGGCAAGAUGCUUGGCGGGCAAAGGUCCCUCCCGCCAAGUUUGAUUGGCCGCCAAGCUUGAUGACCUGAGUUCCAUCCUCAGGACCCACGUGAUGGAAGAACUGUCUUCUUUGGGUUGUCCUCUGACCUUCACGUGUGUGCUG